ACGUAGGUCACAAGCGUUGUCCGGAAUUACUGGGUGUAAAGGGAGCGCAGGCGGGAAUGCAAGUUGGGAGUGAAAUCUACGGGCUCAACCCGUAAACUGCUCUCAAAACUGUAUUUCUUGAGUAGUGCAGAGGUAGGCGGAAUUCCCGGUGUAGCGGUGGAAUGCGUAGAUAUCGGGAGGAACACCAGUGGCGAAGGCGGCCUACUGGGCACCAACUGACGCUGAGGCUCGAAAGUGUGGGUAGCAAACAGG
rnacentral:rRNA from 1 species